GAUGAACGCUAGCGGCAGGCUUAACACAUGCAAGUCGAGGGGUAGAAGCAGCUUGCUGCUUUGAGACCGGCGCACGGGUGCGUAACGCGUAUGCAAUCUACCUUUUACAGAGGGAUAGCCCAGAGAAAUUUGGAUUAAUACCUCAUAGUAUGUGAGAAUCGCAUGGUUUUCACAUUAAAGUUCCAACGGUAAAAGAUGAGCAUGCGUCCCAUUAGCUAGAUGGUAAGGUAACGGCUUACCAUGGCGACGAUGGGUAGGGGUCCUGAGAGGGAGAUCCCCCANACUGGUACUGAGACACGGACCAGACUCCUACGGGAGGCAGCAGUGAGGAAUAUUGGACAAUGGGCGCAAGCCUGAUCCAGCCAUGCCGCGUGCAGGAUGACGGUCCUAUGGAUUGUAAACUGCUUUUGUACAGGAAGAAACACUCCCCUCGUGAGGGAGCUUGACGGUACUGUAAGAAUAAGGAUCGGCUAACUCCGUG
rnacentral:rRNA from 1 species